rnacentral:rRNA from 1 species
AUUGAACGCUGGCGGCAUGCCUUACACAUGCAAGUCGAACGGUAACGCGGGGCAACCUGGCGACGAGUGGCGAACGGGUGAGUAACACAUCGGAACGUGCCCAGUAGUGGGGGAUAGCCCGGCGAAAGCCGGAUUAAUACCGCAUACGACCUAAGGGUGAAAGCAGGGGACCGCAAGGCCUUGCGCUAUUGGAGCGGCCGAUGUCAGAUUAGCUAGUUGGUGGGGUAAAAGCCUACCAAGGCGACGAUCUGUAGCUGGUCUGAGAGGACGACCAGCCACACUGGGACUGAGACACGGCCCAGACUCCUACGGGAGGCAGCAGUGGGGAAUUUUGGACAAUGGGCGCAAGCCUGAUCCAGCCAUGCCGCGUGCGGGAAGAAGGCCUUCGGGUUGUAAACCGCUUUUGUCAGGGAAGAAACGGUCUGGGUUAAUACCCUGGGCUAAUGACGGUACCUGAAGAAUAAGCACCGGCUAACUACGUG